rnacentral:rRNA from 1 species
AAUCAACGCUGGCGGCGUGCCUCAGACAUGCAAGUCGAACGAUUAAAGCUCUCUUCGGAGAGUGCAUAGAGUGGCGCACGGGUGAGUAACACGUAAGUAAUCUACCUUCGAGUGGGGAAUAACGUCCGGAAACGGACGCUAAUACCGCAUAAUGCAGCGGCAUCGUAAGAUGACAGUUGUUAAAGAUUUAUCGCUUGAAGAGGAGCUUGCGGCAGAUUAGCUAGUUGGUAAGGUAAUGGCUUACCAAGGCUACGAUCUGUAACCGGUCUUAGAGGACGGUCGGUCACACUGACACUGAAUAACGGGUCAGACUCCUACGGGAGGCAGCAGUCGGGAAUUUUGGCAAUGGGCGAAAGCCUGACCCAGCAACGCCGCGUGAAGGAUGAAGUAUUUCGGUAUGUAAACUUCGAAAGAAUAGGAAGAAUAAAUGACGGUACUAUUUAUAAGGUCCGGCUAACUACGUG